rnacentral:rRNA from 1 species
UACGUAGGUGGCGAGCGUUAUCCGGAUUUAUUGGACGUAAAGCGUGCGCAGGCGGUUUAUUAAGUCUAAGAUUAAAGCCCGGAGCUUAACUCCGGUUCGUCUUAGAAACUGGUAGACUUGAGUAUGGUAGAGGCAAAUGGAAUUCCUAGUGUAGCGGUGGAAUGCGUAGAUAUUAGGAGGAACACCAGUGGCGAAGGCGAUUUGCUGGGCCAUUACUGACGCUCAUGCACGAAAGCGUGGGGAGCGAAUAGG